CUUCUCGUUAGAUCACCGAAGUUAAGCAUUAUUGGGCGCGGUCAGUACUUGGGUGGGUGACCACCUGGGAACACUGCGUGCCGUU
rnacentral:rRNA from 1 species